GACGAACGCUGGCGGCGUGCCUAAUACAUGCAAGUUGAGCGAUGAAGAUUGGUGCUUGCACCAAUUUGAAGAGCAGCGAACGGGUGAGUAACGCGUGGGGAAUCUGCCUUUGAGCGGGGGACAACAUUUGGAAACGAAUGCUAAUACCGCAUAAUAACUUUAAACAUAAGUUUUAAGUUUGAAAGAUGCAAUUGCAUCACUCAAAGAUGAUCCCGCGUUGUAUUAGCUAGUUGGUGAGGUAAAGGCUCACCAAGGCGAUGAUACAUAGCCGACCUGAGAGGGUGAUCGGCCACAUUGGGACUGAGACACGGCCCAAACUCCUACGGGAGGCAGCAGUAGGGAAUCUUCGGCAAUGGACGAAAGUCUGACCGAGCAACGCCGCGUGAGUGAAGAAGGGUUUCGGAUCGUAAAACUCUGUUGGUAGAGAAGAACGUUGGUGAGAGUGGAAAGCUCAUCAAGUGACGGUAACUACACAGAAAGGGACGGCUAACUACGUG
rnacentral:rRNA from 1 species